rnacentral:misc_RNA from 1 species
UGAGGGCCUCUAAAACCUGGG